rnacentral:misc_RNA from 1 species
UGUGGGUUUAUUCUCGUUACUGUUCGCAUCAGAUGGAUUACAAAUUAGAUUUUAUCAAAAUAUCAAUUAUGAUCACCUUAUCUAAAUUGAAAAAAGAAGCUGAAGAGAGAAAAGGAAAGAAUUCUCAUAAUGACAGUCUUAUUUCCAGACGCAGAGCUUCUGUUAGGGACAGACUGCUUGUUAAAGAAAUACAAGAAAUGGAGCUUACUUUGCCUGCUACCUGUAGAGUCAACUUUGAAAACCCAAAUGAACUACAUAAGUUUGAUUUGAAUGUAUCCCCAGAUGAAGGCUACUGGCAGGGUGGGAAAUUUCAUUUUACAAUUGACAUACCAGAAGAUUACAAUAUGGUGCCUCCCAUUGUCAAAUGUUUGACCAGGUUAUGGCAUCCUAAUAUUAAUGAAGGAGGGGAAAUCUGCCUUAGCCUACUACGUCAAAAUUCUAUUGAUGGAAUGGGGUGGGCUCCAACUCGAACACUCAAGGACGUUGUGUGGGGACUGAAUUCUCUUUUUACUGACUUACUCAAUUUUGAUGAUCCAUUAAAUAAUGAAGCUGCUGAACAUUACCAAACAGAUAAAUGGACAUUUGACAUCUUUAAUGCCAUCAGACCAUACAAGGGCAUCUGAAGAUGUUACUAAGUGCCCUUUCUGUUUGUCCACAAAUAGGCCAUGUUCCUGCAUUUGAUUUCCAGUUUUAGUGGAAUACUCAAUCACAGCAUUUUUUUUUUACCUUUUACCAUACUAGAGAAAGACAAACUGUAUAAAACAUGCUUCACUUUGGUGUCCCUCAUCUUAAAAAUCUCUCUAGAAUGAGAAGCUGUUAGUCAUUUUUUUCCUUUCUUAUUUCCGUAAAAUUGUUGUAUUGACCCUUUUUGUUCUUUUUGUAUUUCAGUUUUUUGUUCUUAUCUAACUUUUUUUAGCUGAUUGUCUCUUAGUUCUAGGAACUCUUGAGACUGUCUUUUCUGAUUCAGGUCUAUAAUCUUUCUUUCCAUUGUUGUAUGCAAGUAGAAGUUUCUUGACUUUCUAAUGAAUCUCUUUUUGCUUUGAGAGUUAGAAGUCUCUUGCAAACCCUCAUUCUUUGAGUUUGAGCUCUAGCUGUAUGUUUUUUUAAAAGAGUAAAUGGACAUUUUGUGGUGCUGGAUUUUCAGGCCAGACUAUAUGCCAUGAUUAUCCAAGUUGGAAAGCUAAACCUGCAGCAAAUCCUUGUUUAUUGUAAGAUCUUCAUUUUAAUCUACAAACCUGUUUGCCACCAAUAAACUCUAAUAUACAAGUCUCUGCUAAGUUACUUGUUCAAUUGCUUAUAUGAUGGCAUGCCUUUCUGACUAAUGCAUAAGCAAGUCAUUAUUUGGCUAAAGAUUUUAAGAGGUAUCAUAUUUAAAUAGUUUGUUGUGUUGUCAGUUAUUUUUGGAUGAGAACAGUAAUAUGAUUUGCACUUGUUAUGAUCACCAAAUGUAUGGUAGGGGGCAGUACUUGAGUAUCCUUUCAGUUCUUUCACAGUAUUACUGUUUUAUGCAUUCUGCCAAAUAAUUCCAUGACCAAAUGUUUUUAGUUUUGGUAUUCUAUCUUUUCUCAAGUGUUUGCUAUUUUCUUUUUCUUGUGCUAUUUGAAAUAAGGUUUUUAUAUACAGUCUUUCCAUCCAUAAACCAGAAAAAUAAAAUAAUUUUGGUUUAUAUGAUGUGUUUAUAAAAUAAAUUAAUAUUACAAAAUGAUUGUAUGAAAGCUUAGUUUACAUGCUAAAACAUUUGUUGUAAUUUACAAGGGUAAAAAUAAAAGCUUACAUUGUAAAACCAACUUCACUAGAGCAGUGUGGAAGUUGCACUGUUUGGGUUAUAGAUAAAUAAAAAGCUAUAAAUAAUGUAAUAUAAUUUCUGUUGUUUUUUUAAAUAUAAAGAAAAUUUAUAAAAUAUUAAUGAAACAUAUGCACAAUUACAAUUUGAACAUUUACCUUGUCAUCUUUUUCUUCACACUUUUGAAAAAUGUUGAAGCUCCAACAGAGUAUGUUCAUGAUAGAGCACGCUUGUACUAGUUAUACAUGUCCAGCAUCUGUAGCAGUGAAAUCCCAAACAACAGCAAUAUUGAUAUUGUGAUGUUCUUCUUAGGGUGUAUUGGCAGCUUAAAGCUUCAUAUUUUCACUAUAUACACAUUUGAACAUAAAUAUACUUUCCAGUCCUCGAAGAAGUUCAUGAUGAAAUAAAAAGUGCAUUGUUUUUGGGCAACUGAAUGAAUGAUAUAAUAACCUUUUUCACAUCUACAAUUAAAUGGGUAAUGUCAAUAAUUUGUCGUCCUUUAAGUUGUAUAAAGUGAUUUGCCAUUUUAAGAGCAAAUGAUAUAAAUAAGUGCACUAGACAACCAUGUAAAUUUGAGUCUAUUUAUCAUUGUUGUAUUUUAUCAUAACUUAAAGUUAUGAAAAAAAAUUGGACAUUAUGAAAAAAUUUUCAUUGUAAAACCAAAAUAUAAUAAUUCAUCUAGAUAUAAUGCAAAGUGGCAUUGUACAAAAGGUUUAGCAACUUGCCUGUAUAAUUUUGAUGUAGUAAAAAACACGUAUAAAGGUAAAGGAAAACCUUAAGUUCUAGAAUUUCUUUUAGAUGUGCAGUAGACCUUAAUAUCUUAAUAUUUUUUUAAACUUAUCUAGAAAAGGCUUCAAAAUUUUGCUAAUGAAACCUUUGCCUUUUACUUGCUGUGUGUAAUGCAUUUUUUGUAGUAAAGCUAUUGUUUUUUUCUUUUAAUAUUUAACAAUAAUCUUGUUAAUGAGGAAGAAAAGGGUAGUCUCUCUGACUUGAAGAAGAAUUGUUGGUGAUUGUAGGCCAAGAUGUUCAGAUCUUUGAUAACAUUUAAAAAUUAUUAGUUAUUAUAAUGUUUUCAUAGUUUAAAGUUUGAUUUAGUGGAAAGUUGAAAGCUAGAUUGACCUUUAUGAGCCAGGCAUAUAUCUAUCAGACAAAAAAAAACAACAGCCAACUCUUGUUUUCCCACAUGCCCAAAAAUCACAACUAAUACUGAGGUGAUUUUGUUUGUCUAUAUGUGUUUGGGGGUCUGUAUCUCCAAGCAGUUUAAUAUGAUGUUCUUGUGCUAUGCUUUUCCCAGUAACUUGUUGCAUGUAAGUUUACUGUACAAAGAACGAACCUGCAAAAGUAAAAUGACAUACUCAUUAGUGAAUAUUGUGCUAGGUUUGACAAACAAUUGUGUACUUGUUUUAAUCAAUUGGAACAAAUCAGCUAAUGGUUACAAUUUCAACCAGAUAGAUACCAUCUUUGGCCUAUAAAUGGACAACAUUUGAUAACAUUUUACUGUUUGAGGACGGGUUUAAGCUCAAAGUUAAAGACUAUAUUCAACGCUACGCCAAAAGGUGAAAAAAGAGUAGUUUAAAAUUUAGGAGUUUCAAAUUAUUAGCUGUGCAUCUCGCUCAUUCUGUUUCAUGUGUGAACAAAGCUGAUUUAAGCUAAAUUUGUAAGUUGUGAUGUGAUAUUGGUAAAAACAGUGAACUGACUCUUAACCACCGUGUUUCUCGGUAUUGAAAUCAGAGUAGAAGGAAAUGACUAAACCUACCACCAGCAUUUGUUAACAGGAUGUUCAAACAGACUUAUGUCCAAACUCAGAUUGUGAAUGGCUAUGUGUACAAACAUUUUGGAGCCUGACCUCUGUUAAUAUCUGUUUAUAGUGUAAAAUCUUUAAAUCUAGCAAACUUGAAAAGUUUGUAAUUUAGAAUUCUUUCAUGUUUUAUUUUUAUUGUUUUGAUCUUCUUACAUGGUUCAUCAAGUUUUUUUUCAUAAUGUGGUUGAUAAACUUUGAUAAUGUACCCAGUAGUCAGUACACUAAACCAUGUCAUUGUUCUUUCAGAAUGUAUGGGUAAUACUUGGUAGUCCAGUCAGCACUCAGUACAGCACUGCAACGUUAUUUCUGAAUCUUUGGACAGUUUAUACACGUAAUUCAGUCAGUAAAUAAACUACACCAGCAUUUUUUGCCAUAGAUAUUGUUUGAUAAUUAUUAAAUGAGGUGCCAUUACUGUUUUUUUUAACUGAUUCUGUAGACAGAGUGAAAAAAGCUUUUAUCAUUAAUUUCUGAUUAAGGCAAACUAACUAGAGAUAAGAACUAAACAUAACCAAGUAAUUAAUAUAGAUAUUUUAAUAUAUCAUUCUUACUUACAAUGAUUAGAAUGCAUGAAUUCAUCAGUUGGACACCUUCACUGUUAGUGACAUUUGCAGCCAUAUUACAAUACCAUGUUACAUUUAAACACACCACCUCAGGAAAUGAAAAAAAAAAUUUUUUAGUUACCAGCCUUCUUCAAGAAAGAGUCCAUUAAAAGAUAGAUAUGGUUAUAAAGGACGUUUGAAAACAUUGUGGAAAUGUACUUCAGUGAAUUAAGCAAGCAGAUGAGGGACAGAGAUAAAACAGCACUGUAGAUUAAAAAAUUGUGAUGAGUGCAUGAAAUGCACCUUUAGCAUUUGUCUUACUGAUGGAAAAUAACUAAAGAUAGUCAUACUCGCAACUUGGCAGAAGAACAAAAGGGGUAGUGGACCUAGAUUAAUGGUUUGUUGAAAAACUGGGUUAAAAUGCAGAAAAAUAAUUUUAAACUGAUAAAGAAAUUGUUUAAAAUGUUUAAAAGAUGGAAGAAGUAAAUAUAUGGUACAACAAAUGAUGAUAAUGUGGUUACUGUUUUGGGCCUAAACUCUUCUUUAAAAAACAUUUAAUCACAUAAACACAGAAUAGCUGUACGGUGUUUUGUAUAUAUAAAUGUGUCUAACGACAUUGUUGGAAAAAAAAAACAAUAUGAUGAUAACACUAAUCUAGGUAAAAUUAAAAGAAGUUUUUCAUUUAAGCCAUUAGGGGAUAAAGUUGUUCCUCAUAUUCUCUCAUUUGUUUGUUCUUUGGAGCAGAUUUUAGUACCACGACACAAUAUUAAAAUAUUGGGGAAUGGGUUUAUUCGAGUUAACAUCAGUUAUGUGAAUUGUUUGCUGACUAUGCAUCCAGUCUUUCCAAUUUAUAAAAUUUAACACAAGUCGCAGGUUAUUAAGCAUAUAGCCAACUAUGAUAUACAGGGGGGAGGUUGGAUUAAUAUAAUGUUUAUCCUUAGGCCCAACAAUCAGAAUACGGCUAUUGAUGCGAGCAAAAGUUGUACUAUGAGAUUGGCUGCAUGGAGAACAUUCAGGAGUAGUGUUGUCCUUGUUAGCAGAUAAAAUGAAAAGUUCAAGAAUAUUGUGGAGACAUACAUUUUGAGUGUAAGCAACAGUAGGUCUGUUAGGAAAAAUAUCCUUAAUUAUAGGGUUGUUCUAUCUAUAAAAUAUGAAAAA